UUUAAUUCGAUGCAACGCGAAAAACCUUACCACUCCUUGACAUGGAAAUUAUACCUAUUCGAAGGAAUAGGGUCGGUUCGGCCGGAUUUCACACAGGUGUUGCAUGGCUGUCGUCAGCUCGUGUCGUGAGAUGUUGGGUUAAGUCCCGCAACGAGCGCAACCCUCAUCCUUAGUUACCAUCGGGUCAUGCCGGGGACUUUAAGGAAACUGCCAGUGAUAAACUGGAGGAAGGCGGGGAUGAUGUCAAGUCAUCACGGCCCUUAUGGAGUGGGCUACACACGUGCUACAAUGGUGAUUACAGUGGGCUGCAAGGUCGCAAGGCCAAGCCAAUCCCUAAAAAUCAUCUCAGUUCGGAUUGUUCUCUGCAACUCGAGAGCAUGAAGUUGGAAUCGCUAGUAAUCGUGGAUCAGCAUGCCA
rnacentral:rRNA from 1 species